rnacentral:rRNA from 1 species
GGCUUGCCUUUACCAGCCGGCGACCGGCGCACGGGUGAGUAACACGUAUGCAACCUGCCUGCCACAGCCGGAUAAUCGGGAGAAAUUCCGUCUAAUACGGCAUAAUGCACCUAUGGGACAUCCUGUUGGUGCCAAAGGUUAAUUCCGGUGGCGGAUGGGCAUGCGUCGCAUUAGUUAGUUGGCGGUGUAACGGACCACCAAGACGACGAUGCGUAGGGGUUCUGAGAGGAAGGUCCCCCACACUGGUACUGAGACACGGACCAGACUCCUACGGGAGGCAGCAGUGAGGAAUAUUGGUCAAUGGGCGGGAGCCUGAACCAGUCAAGUCGCGUGAGGGAUGACGGCCCUAUGGGUUGUAAACCUCUUUUGCCGGGGAGCAAAGUGCCGCACGUGUGCGGUUUGGAGAGUACCCGGAGAAAAAGCAUCGGCUAACUCCGUGCCAGCAGCCGCGGUAAUACGGAGGAUGCGAGCGUUAUCCGGAUUUAUUGGGUUUAAAGGGUGCGUAGGCGGACGCUUAAGUCAGCGGUAAAAUUGCGGGGCUCAACCUCGUCGAGCCGUUGAAACUGGGUGCCUUGAGUGGGCGAGAAGUACGCGGAAUGCGUGGUGUAGCGGUGAAAUGCA